GCUGGCGGCAUGCCUAACACAUGCAAGUCGAACGGUAACAGGUCCUUCGGGGCGCUGACGAGUGGCGGACGGGUGAGUAACGCGUGGGAAUCUGCCCUGUAGUGGGGGACAACCCGGGGAAACUCGGGCUAAUACCGCAUACGCUCUACGGAGGAAAGCGGGGGAUCUUCGGACCUCGCGCUACAGGAUGAGCCCGCGUCCGAUUAGCUUGUUGGUGAGGUAAAAGCUCACCAAGGCGACGAUCGGUAGCUGGUCUGAGAGGACGACCAGCCACACUGGGACUGAGACACGGCCCAGACUCCUACGGGAGGCAGCAGUGGGGAAUAUU
rnacentral:rRNA from 1 species